rnacentral:rRNA from 1 species
GAGUAAAAACAUGGCUCAGAAAAAACCCAGGCGGCAGGCCUAACACAUGCAAGUCGAGCGGAUGAAGAGAGCUGGGGGUGUGAUUCAGCGAAAAAAAAGUGGGGGGUGCCUGGGNGUCUGCCUAAUCACGAAAGACAACGUUUCGAAAGGAACGCUAAUACCGCAUACGUCCUACGGGAGAAAGCAGGGGACCUUCGGGCCUUAAAAAAUCAGAUGAGCCUAGGUCGGAUUAGCUAGUUGGUGGGGUAAUGGCUCACCAAGGCGACGAUCCGUAACUGGUCUGAGAGGAUGAUCCAGUCACACUGGAACUGAGACACGGUCCAGACUCCUACGGGAGGCAGCAGUGGGGAAUAUUGGACAAUGGGCGAAAGCCUGAUCCAGCCAUGCCGCGUGUGUGAAGAAGGUCUUCGGAUUGUAAAGCACUUUUAGAGGGGAGGAAGGGUUGUAGAUUAAUACUCUGCAAUUUUUAAGUGGCCGACAGAAUAAGCACCGGCUAACUCUGUGCCAGCAGCCGCG